UACAGAGGGGGCAAGCGUUGUCCGGAUUUACUGGGCGUACAGCGCGCGCAGGCGGUUGCGUAUGUGAGCGGUGACAUCCGCGGGCUCAACCCGCGGCGGCCCGCUUACACAGCGCGACUGGAGGCAGGGAGAGGGAUGUGGAAUACCCGGUGGAGCGGUGAAAUGCGUAGAGAUCGGGUGGAACACCAGCGGCGAAGGCGGCAUCCUGGCCCUGUACUGACGCUGAGGAGCGAAAGCAUGGGGAGCGAACAGG
rnacentral:rRNA from 1 species